rnacentral:rRNA from 1 species
UUGAAGUGGGCGCAGCCUGAGCAGCCUGCCGCGUGUAUGAAGAAGGCCUUCGGGUUGUAAAGUACUUCCAGUUGUGAGGAAGGGUGUGUAGUUAAUAGCUGCACAUCUUGACGUUAGCAACAGAAGAAGCACCGGCUAACUCCGUGCCAGCAGCCGCGGUAAUACGGAGGGUGCGAGCGUUAAUCGGAAUUACUGGGCGUAAAGCGCAUGCAGGUGGUUCAUUAGGUCAGAUGUGAAAGCCCGGGGCUCAACCUCGGAACUGCAUUUGAAACUGGUGAACUAGAGUACUGUAGAGGGGGGUAGAAUUUCAGGUGUAGCGGUGAAAUGCGUAGAGAUCUGAAGGAAUACCAGUGGCGAAGGCGGCCCCCUGGACAGAUACUGACACUCAGAUGCGAAA